rnacentral:rRNA from 1 species
GUUGUAAUCUAUAGAAACGUUUUCCGUGCCGGACCGUGUCCAAGUCCCUUGGAACAGGGUAUCAGAGAGGGUGACAAUCCCGUACUUGACACGACGACCGGUGCUCUGUGAUACGUUCUCUACGAGUCGAGUUGUUUGGGAAUGCAGCUCAAAAUGGGUGGUAAACUCCAUCUAAAGCUAAAUAUUGGUGGGAGACCGAUAGCGAACAAGUACCGUGAGGGAAAGAUGAAAAGCACUUUGGAAAGAGAGUUAAACAGUAUGUGAAAUUGUUGAAAGGGAAACGAUUGAAGUCAGUCGUGACCGUUGGGUUCAGCCGGUUCUGCCGGUCUACUCCCUUCGGUCGGGUCAACAUCGGUUUUGACCGGCGGAUAAGGAAGGGAGGAAUGUGGCACCCUCCGGGGUGUGUUAUAGCCUCUCGUCGCAUACGUCGGUCGAGACCGAGGAACGCAGCUCGCCUUUAUGGCCGGGGUUCGCCCACGUCCGAGCUUAGGAUGUUGACAUAAUGGCUUUAAAC